UACGGAGGAUGCGAGCGUUAUCCGGAUUCAUUGGGUUUAAAGGGUGCGCAGGCGGACCGGUAAGUCGGCGGUGAAAUCCACACGCCCAACGUGUGAAGCGCCGUUGAUACUGCCGGACUGGUAUGCCGGGGGCGCGGCCGGAAUGUGUCGUGUAGCGGUGAAAUGCAUAGAUAUGACACAGAACGCCGAUCGUGAAGACAGGUCGCGAACCGGAGAUAGACGCUCAAGCACGAAAGCGUGGGGAUCGAAC
rnacentral:rRNA from 1 species